UACAGAGGUCUCAAGCGUUGUUCGGAUUCAUUGGGCGUAAAGAGCUCGUAGGCGGUUUGGUAAGUUGGAUGUGAAAUCUCCAGGCUCAACUUGGAGGGGUCAUUCGAUACUGCCAUGACUAGAGUUCGGUAGGGGAGUGUGGAAUUCCUGGUGGAGCGGUGAAAUGCGCAGAUAUCAGGAGGAACACCCGUAGCGAAGGCGGCACUCUGGGCCGGAACUGACGCUGAGGAGCGAAAGCGUGGGGAGCGAACAGGA
rnacentral:rRNA from 1 species